GACGAACGCUGGCGGCGUGCCUAAUACAUGCAAGUCGAGCGGACAAAGAGGAGCUUGCUCCUCGAUGUUAGCGGCGGACGGGUGAGUAACACGUGGGUAACCUGCCUGUAACACUGGGAUAACUUCAGGAAACUGGAGCUAAUACCGGAUAAUGCUUUUGAACUCAUGUUCGAGAGCUGAAAGAUGGUUUCGGCUGUGACUUACAGAUGGGCUCGCGGCGCUUUAGCUGGUUGGUGGGUUAACAGGUCACCAAGGGAACGCUGCGUAGCCGACCUGAGUGGGUGAUCGGCGGCACGAGGGCUGGGACAGGGCCCAGGCGCCUGCGGUAGGCAGCAGUAGGGAAUGUUCGGCAAUGGUCGAGAGUCUUACGGAGCAACGCGGCGUGAGAUAUGGAGGUUUUCGGAGCGUAAUGCUCGGUUGUGAGGGAAGAACAGGUUCCGGAGGAACUGCCGCGAGCUUGACGGUACCGAGUAAGAAAGCCACGGCUAACUACGUG
rnacentral:rRNA from 1 species